rnacentral:lncRNA from 1 species
UUUAUUAUGUAAAUCAGGUGACCAUGUUAGUGAAAGGUGUUCAGGUAGGACCAAGGUCAGUAGAAGACGGAGAAGGAUGUCCCAUAAGCCAUAUUACUGCUACUGCCACAUGUAAGCCGAAAAGAUGGCACUGAAACCAGCGGCAGUAUCUCUAAGGCGUUCAGCGCAGUGUGAGAUGUCAUCCAGAUCAGUCACUUUACAGCUGGGUCGUGGAAGAAGAAGACGCAAGAUAGGUGUGGUGAAGUCGCAAGGCCGAAUAUUCUAUUAAUUGGAAUAAAUUUGUCUUAACACUGUAAUUUCCUUUGCCAAGAUGCUGCAAAAUGCAUAUACGACUGAUAGAAGCUGACCUAGUCUUCCGUAUUUUCAAAAUGAUAGCUUUAAAAUAAAUUUUCUGCAUACUCGUAUGGCGCACUAAGAUUGAUCGUGCUUCACUUUUCUUAAAGUCAGACAUCAAUUAUUUUUAUUAUCAAAUAAUGCCAUAAGGAUUGAUCGAUAUAAAUAAUAAAAUGAAUAUAAUUAGAUGAUAAAACUUUAAUUUGAUUCCACUGAACCAGUCAGUUUUUUUUCCCAAUUUUUGUUAUGCCAUAGUUUCAUAAUAUAAACCCUAUACUAUAAUAUGAAAAGCCAUAAUAUAAUCUCAAAGUGCUUACAUAUCACAACUUUCAAAUUUAAAGUUGCAUCUUCACUAGAUCGCAAGUUGAAAUUCGAGUACGAAUAUUUAUUGUGAUUUACUAUUGUAAAAUUCGUUAUGAUGAUAUACAUUGUAGAAGAAAACUUUUAUUUUAUCAUUUGUAACUUAACUCUGACAUUUGUGAACGUAAAUAAUUUUUGCCUGAAUAAAUACGCUUUUUGAAGA